rnacentral:rRNA from 1 species
AGAGUUCGAUCCUGGCUCAGGAUGAACGCUGGCGGCGCGCCUAACACAUGCAAGUCGAACGGCACCUGCCCUCGGGCAGAAGCGAGUGGCGAACGGCUGAGUAACACGUGGAGAACCUGCCCCCUCCCCCGGGAUAGCCGCCCGAAAGGACGGGUAAUACCGGAUACCCCGGGGUGCCGCAUGGCACCCCGGCUAAAGCCCCGACGGGAGGGGAUGGCUCCGCGGCCCAUCAGGUAGACGGCGGGGUGACGGCCCACCGUGCCGACAACGGGUAGCCGGGUUGAGAGACCGACCGGCCAGAUUGGGACUGAGACACGGCCCAGACUCCUACGGGAGGCAGCAGUGGGGAAUCUUGCGCAAUGGGGGGAACCCUGACGCAGCGACGCCGCGUGCGGGACGGAGGCCUUCGGGUCGUAAACCGCUUUCAGCAGGGAAGAGUCAAGACUGUACCUGCAGAAGAAGCCCCGGCUAACUACGUGCCAGCAGCCGCGGUAAUACGUAGGGGGCGAGCGUUAUCCGGAUUUAUUGGGCGUAAAGCGCGCGUAGGCGGCCCGGCAGGCCGGGGGUCGAAGCGGGGGGCUCAACCCCCCGAAGCCCCCGGAACCUCCGCGGCUUGGGUCCGGUAGGGGAGGGUGGAACACCCGGUGUAGCGGUGGAAUGCGCAGAUAUCGGGUGGAACACCGGUGGCGAAGGCGGCCCUCUGGGCCGAGACCGACGCUGAGGCGCGAAAGCUGGGGGAGCGAACAGGAUUAGAUACCCUGGUAGUCCCAGCCGUAAACGAUGGACGCUAGGUGUGGGGGGACGAUCCCCCCGUGCCGCAGCCAACGCAUUAAGCGUCCCGCCUGGGGAGUACGGCCGCAAGGCUAAAACUCAAAGGAAUUGACGGGGGCCC